CAUACAUCUGCUGGAUGCUUCUCAGCAAGCCUGUUGUGUAGAUUAGGAAUUUGUUUAUAACUUAAUAUAAUUUUUGCAGAUUUGUUGAACAACAUGCUGCGGUGACAGCAACUCUCAUGGCUGAAAGAAAUACCAGGCAUCUUGUGCAAAGAGGGUCAUACAUCUCUACACUUGAGGACACAUGUAGGGUGCUGAAGCCACUCAGAACCUUUACCGAUUCCCUGGCUUCAGAGAAAUGCAUCACAAUCUCAUCCCUGAGGCCUGUCCUUCAGCAUCUGACUGAAUCCAUCCAGGCAGAAAAAAGGAUGAUGACUGCAGCCUGGUGAGGAUCAUGAAACAUGCCAUCUGCAAGAACUUAAAAGAGCGGUAUGAGGAUUCUGAUAUGGCUAAUGUGAUUAACAUGGCCUGUGUACUUGACCCCCGCUUCAAGUUAAACUUCGUGGAAGAGGCAGAUUCAAUCAAAGGACAGCUAGAGCAACAGGUCACGCAGGAGUCUUCUGCAAAUGAAGGCAAAUAAAAUUCUCAUUGAAGAAUAUCCCAAAAUGGAGGGGGAGGAAGGGUGGUUUUUCUACAAGUCUUCAGGACUGGCAAAGUGAGGUCCAGGUUCUUUCUGUCACAAACUCACCACUUGUGCGCCCUAACAGAGAGUCCAGAGAUUGUGGCCAGGAUAGAAAGGAAUGCCCUAUAUGUUGUGGCUGCUUUCCAUCAGAUGAAAUUGUUCUGCAUGCAAGCCUGUGUGGUGAAAGGUUUGCCAUUCUAUCAUGUCUACAGGACAAUUUGACCUACAAUACAGACAGCUGUGUGCUACGCGAGGGAAGCUUAUCUAUGGCCGACAUGUCUAGUGACGAUGAUGUACUCCAGUGGCUUGCAAGCCAAGUAGAUGCAAGCAAAGAUUUGAAGAUCUGCAUCACGCGGGACAACCUUUUCCAAAGAGGCCUAAUUCAGUGACUGAGACAGAAGAAGGGCUCACCUGUCAACAAACUCAAUGUGACUUUCAUUGGCGAAGCUGGAAUCGACACUGGAGCAUUAAGCAAAGAAUUUUUGACUGAAAUGAUGCAUUGAGAGGCGACUGUCUGAGGGCAGUGGCAAGAAGGGAAAGAGUCCUGUCUACUCGAUUGGUGACCUAGAAAAUGGUUUCUACAGGUGGAGGAAGCAACUGAUCUGACACAGUUCACAGAUGAAAUCAUGAGUUGUGGUUACAUGGGUUUGCUUAAGUUGGACCAAAAGGACAGUAACAUAAGAGCCAUUGUUCUGCACGUUACAAUGCGUCUGAAUCCCAUGCUUCAGCAAAUUAGAAAUGGGUUGAAGGUCUACAACCUUCUGGAUGUGAUUGGGAAGCAUCAAACUCUCUGCUCAAAGCUGUUUGUCCCCAAAAAGGAUGAUGAAAGAGGCAGAAUGAAGACCAGCAAAUGUGUGAGCCUCUGACCCAAUAGGAGCUGCUAAGUCAAGAAGAGCACUGGAGUCAACAAACACACGUGAGCCUGUCUGUCCCGACAGUGAUGAAGUGGUUAACUGGACAAAGGCACAAGCCCCUUCUUCCAUCAGAGAGGGCAGAUUUUGAAAUAAAUCUAAGAUUUGAACACCACUGUAAUGAAAAAAUGCCAGGUCACAACAUUUGUUUCCCACUUGUAAGUGCCUGCACAAAUACAAUAACUGUUCCUGUUGAACAUCUGAAAACAUACAAGGAGUUCAGAGAUAUAAUGACAGUAGCAAUCAGAAUGGGUAGAGAUUUUGGGCUAGUGUAGAGGUCUUGUUUUUUGAUCACUGAUGUUUACUUCCCCAAAUCAGGCAGUAUUGUGAAUAUUUUUGGCAUUUCUAAUGGCAUUUCUUAAAUCUGUUCAGUGAGCUGUUUAUUAUUCUGUGAGAGUCUUAACACACAAAAAAAGACCGCUAGCACAAGUCGAACCAUAAAAAUAGCUCAAUGUUAGUGUUUGGUUUUCCCAUUGCAUUUUUUUUUUUUAAGUUGGGACCACUGCUAACCAUUUAUUUGAAAAAGGUAAUUUAAGAACUCUGUAUUUGCAUUUUGUUUACAGAGCACUGACAAUUUUUCAUGUAAUAUAAACCUUGAAAUGUGAUGCUGUUCCUCAAUUCAUCGUUACUUGUACUAUUGAAAAGUUGAAAUUGUUCAGUCUUCCACAUACACAGUUUCAACACGUGUAUAGCAAAUUCAUGUCAUUCAAGUGAAAUCAACGUUGUGGGGGUUUACAUUUACUAAAUUGUCAGCAAAAAUUAACUUGGUUGAUGU